GCAAGGCUAAAACUCAAAGGAAUUGACGGGGCCCCGCACAAGCGGCGGAGCAUGCGGAUUAAUUCGAUGCAACGCGUAGAACCUUACCUGGGUUUGACAUGGAUCGGGAGUGCUCAGAGAUGGGUGUGCCUCUUUUGGGGUCGGUUCACAGGUGGUGCAUGGCUGUCGUCAGCUCGUGUCGUGAGAUGUUGGGUUAAGUCCCGCAACGAGCGCAACCCUUGUUCACUGUUGCCAGCACGUUAUGGUGGGGACUCAGUGGAGACCGCCGGGGUCAACUCGGAGGAAGGUGGGGAUGACGUCAAGUCAUCAUGCCCCUUAUGUCCAGGGCUUCACGCAUGCUACAAUGGCUGGUACAGAGAGUGGCGAGCCUGUGAGGGUGAGCGAAUCUCGGAAAGCCGGUCUCAGUUCGGAUUGGGGUCUGCAACUCGACCUCAUGAAGUCGGAGUCGCUAGUAAUCGCAGAUCAGCAACGCUGCGGUGAAUACGUUCCCGGGGCUUGUACACACCGCCCGUCAAGUCAUGAAAGUUGGUAACACCCGAAGCCGGUGGCCUAACCGUUGUGGGGGAGCCGUCGAAGGUGGGACUGGUGAUUAGGACUAAGUCGUAACAAGGUA
rnacentral:rRNA from 1 species